UACGUAGGGUGCGAGCGUUAAUCGGAAUUACUGGGCGUAAAGCGUGCGCAGGCGGUUGUGCAAGACAGAUGUGAAAUCCCCGGGCUUAACCUGGGAAUGGCAUUUGUGACUGCAUCGCUGGAGUGCGGCAGAGGGGGAUGGAAUUCCGCGUGUAGCAGUGAAAUGCGUAGAUAUCUGGAGGAAUACCGGUGGCGAAGGCGGGUUGCUGGGCUGAUACUGACGCUGAGGCGCGAAAGCCAGGGGAGCGGAACGGG
rnacentral:rRNA from 1 species